rnacentral:pre_miRNA from 11 species
CUUUGUAUUCUUCCACAGCUUUCUUGAACUGCAUUUUUCAGACUACUGGUGUGUUUUUGUAUGCACUCAAAGUCAUUGUAACAGUUGCGGUUCAAUAAAGCUGUGGGAAGAUACCAACA